rfam:Oryza sativa (indica cultivar-group) chromosome 5, whole genome shotgun sequence.
CCUAUGGAACAUCUAUUUCCAUGUACAACUUUAAUCAUUCAUCUUAUUUAAUUUUUUUAGAAAACCUAAAAAACAUAAGUCAAGUAUAAAGUACUAUUUAUGUUUCAUAAUCUAAUAAUAAUAAAAAUAUUAAUCAUAAAAAAAAAAUUAAAUAAGACGGAUGAUCAAAGUUAGACACGGAAAGUUAUGACUAUGUUUAUU